AUAGGGCUGAUGCAUCGCAGUGUCCACAUAUGCAGGGAGGCUGGUUUCCUAGGAAGCCUCCCAAUGAGGAAAUUGUUGGGAAUGUGCUGCAAGGCGCUGCCUCGCUCUGGAGCCAGACGAGAGGCCGGAGCAUCCGCCCCAACAUGGCUGGCUGUGUGAGCCUCAGGAACGCUGGCAGCUCUGCAAGACUCUCUGCCAUCUGCAAAAUGUGGGCGGCUGGCUGAAAACCCUCCAGGGAUUGCUGCAUUUGCUAUCCGAAAGUCAACUCCUAUGCCUUCGGAGAGUGAGGAAGAUCAGAGAGGGGCAUUUUUGCCUGUUUUAAUGUCGCCAUCAGUCACCAGGCAAGUCUGCAAUCUUUGCUGCAUCCUUCCAUGGUAUCGGCACAAGCAAGGCUGUAGAGUCUCACCCUGUUACCCAGACUGGAGUGAACUGGCACAAUCUCGGCUCACUGUCACCUCCACCUCCCAGGUUCAAGACAUUCUCCUGCCUCAGCCUCCUGAGUAGCUGGGAUUACAGAGGAGGAAAAUGAGCUGCAGAAGGAUCAAAUGACCUGCCUGAGGUGCCCUAUCUGUUGGCACAGGCCAGAGCACAUGGUGGAUGCAGGGGCACCCCCUUCCCUUCUCCUCCCCUCCGGCUCUUUGCUGACAGGAUUCUCUCUUGCCUUCUCUGAUGGUACCUGUGCUACGUGCCACAUCCUUUCCCUCAAUGAAUUUCAGGCAGUGGAAGGGGCCGCAGAAGUUCCUUGACUCAUGAGGCGAGGCAUUCAGCGGCCUCGUGACACCUCCCAGGAUCUGCAGUCAUUGGGCUGCACUUGCCAAUAGCAACACCUGGCAAAAAUAGCUAAGAAGCAGAGCGGCCUGGGCUCAGGAGCUGAGCAACCCCUGACUGGCCAGAUGGAGACUGUGUUGAGCUCUGCCCAAGCCCUGUGAUCCUGGAAAACAGUGAAGUUAAGGAGCCAUCUGCAUUCUAGGGAAUGGCCCACUGCAAAAAAUAGCCUUCCUUAUAGGACGUAGAGGACUCAUGAUGUCCCCUCAUUUAUGAUGAGCCAACACACAGCCCUUCCAAAUUCCGAUUCUUUGCUUCAUAACUGAUGAGCUGUUUUGUUCCCACUGGUCAAUCGGAACAACAUUCUUGCUAACCAGAUUUUGGUUCAGCUCUUCUCCCUCCCCAUGUACCUGCCCUGUGUCCUGUCCUCAUCCUGAGCCAGCACACACCCCUCCUUAGUAGCUCCUCCUGCAGCAGGCUGACCUCGGACUCUCCCUGAUCCAUUGUCCAAAUAUAUCACCCUUUCACCCUACAUCCUCACACCCCAUUCUUUCUAGUUUUGUUCAUUCCUCCCUGUGAAAGAUGAACCCUCUUUGCCUAACCCCGGACCUGCUUGCAGACUGCUAUGAUGGCCAGAGUGUCCCCCCUACUGCAAGAGUCCCUUCUGUCCCUUGCAACAUCUUUUAAAUAAAAUCUCUCUUUACCAA
rnacentral:lncRNA from 1 species